rnacentral:rRNA from 1 species
GUAAGGAAUAUUGGUCAAUGGACGCAAGUCUGAACCAGCCAUGCCGCGUGAAGGAUGAAGGUCCUCUGGAUUGUAAACUUCUUUUAUCUGGGACGAAAACGGGAUUUUUAUCUCAAUUGACGGUACCAGAGGAAUAAGCACCGGCUAACUCCGUGCCAGCAGCCGCGGUAAUACGGAGGGUGCGAGCGUUAUCCGGAUUUACUGGGUUUAAAGGGUGCGUUGGUGGGCUUAUAAGUCAGUGGUGAAAUCUCCGAGCUUAACUUGGAAACUGCCGUUGAUACUAUAGGUCUCGAAUUAUCUGGAGGUAAGCGGAAUAUGUCAUGUAGCGGUGAAAUGCUUAGAUAUGACAUAGAACACCAAUUGCGAAGGCAGCUUACUACAUAUAAAUUGACGCUGAGGCACGAAAGCGUGGGGAUCAAACA